rnacentral:rRNA from 1 species
AUUGAACGCUGGCGGCAGGCCUAACACAUGCAAGUCGAACGGUAGCACAGAGAGCUUGCUCUCGGGUGACGAGUGGCGGACGGGUGAGUAACGUCUGGGAAACUGCCCGAUGGAGGGGGAUAACUACUGGAAACGGUAGCUAAUACCGCAUAACGUCGCAAGACCAAAGUGGGGGACCUUCGGGCCUCACACCAUCGGAUGUGCCCAGAUGGGAUUAGCUAGUAGGUGGGGUAAUGGCUUACCUAGACGACGAUCCCUAGCUGGUCUGAGAGGAUGACCAGCCACACUGGAACUGAGACACGGUCCAGACUCCUACGGGAGGCAGCAGUGGGGAAUAUUGCACAAUGGGCGCAAGCCUGAUGCAGCCAUGCCGCGUGUAUGAAGAAGGCCUUCGGGUUGUAAAGUACUUUCAGCGGGGAGGAAGGCGGUGAAGUUAAUAGCUUCACCGAUUGACGUUACCCGCAGAAGAAGCACCGGCUAACUCCGUGCCAGCAGCCGCCGUAA